rnacentral:rRNA from 1 species
AGUCGAGCGCACCUUCGGGUGAGCGGCGGACGGGUGAGUAACGCGUGGGAACGUGCCCUUUGGUUCGGAACAACACAGGGAAACUUGUGCUAAUACCGAAUGUGCCCUUCGGGGGAAAGAUUUAUCGCCUUUGGAGCGGCCCGCGUUGGAUUAGCUAGUUGGUGGGGUAAAGGCCCCCCAAGGCGACAAUCCAUAUCUGGUCUGAGAGGAUGAUCACCCACACUGGGACUGAGACACGGCCCACACUCCUACGGGAGGCAGCAGUAGGGAAUCUUGCGCAAUGGGCGAAAGCCUGACGCACCCAUGCCGCGUGAAUGAUGAAGGUCUUAGGAUUGUAAAAUUCUUUCACCGGGGAGGAUAAUGACGGUCCCCGGAAAAAAAGCCCCGGCUAAUUUCGUGCC